UACGGAAGGCAGCAGUGGGGAAUAUUGCACAAUGGGCGAAAGCCUGAUGCAGCUAUGCCGCGUGUAUGAAGAAGGCCUUAGGGUUGUAAAGUACUUUCAUCGGGGAGGAAAAAACAAAACUAAUAAUUUUAUUUCUUGACGUUACCCGAAAAAGAAGCACCGGCUAACUCCGUGCCAGCAGCCGCGGUAAUACGGAGGGUGCUAGCGUUAAUCAGAAUUACUGGGCGUAAAGAGCACGUAGGUGGUUUUUUAAGUCAGAUGUGAAAUCCCCUGGGCUUUAACCUAGGAACUGCAUUUUGAAACUGAAAUACUAGAGUAUCGUAGAGGGAGGUAGAAUUCUAGGUGUAGCGGUGAAAUGCGUAGAUAUCUGGAGGAAUACCUGUGGCGAAAGCGGCCUCCUAAACGAAUACUGACACUGAGGGUGCGAAAGCGUGGGGAGCAAACAGGGAUUAGAUACC
rnacentral:rRNA from 1 species